GCUCGGAUAGCUCAGUUGGUAGAGCAAAGGACUGAAAAUCCUUGUGUCAGUGGUUCAAUUCCACUUCCGAGCA
rnacentral:tRNA from 1 species